UACAUAGGUCCCGAGCGUUGUUCGGAUUCACUGGGCGUAAAGGGUGCGUAGGUGGCAUAGAAAGUUUGAUGUGAAAGCUCAGGGCUUAACCCUGAAAUGGCAUUGAAUACUGCUGUGCUGGAGGUUUGGAGGGGGGACUGGAAUUCUUGGUGUAGCAGUGAAAUGCGUAGAUAUCAAGAGGAACACCAGUGGCGAAGGCGAGUCCCUGGACAACACCUGACACUGAGGCACGAAAGCUAGGGGAGCAAACAGG
rnacentral:rRNA from 1 species